GCUGGAGUGCAAUGGUGCGACCUUGGCUCACUGCAACUUUCACAUCCCGGGUUCAAGUGAUUCUCCUGCCUCAGCCUGCCAAGUAGCUGGGAUUACAGUUAAGGUGGCAGGAGUGGAAUCUUGGAUUCACCACACCAGAGUUAAAUUUUGGACACCCCCUGAGGAACCUGUGGGACCAUCAGCUCAGGAGUCCCAAGAUCAGCCAGACCAGCCUCGAUACACCUGCGAACAGUUGGAAGACUUGCAUCUCCUAUGUGGGAAGGAAACAUCCCAGAUUAAAAAGGCUCCUACCACUGAUCCUGAAGAAAAACCCCUUCCUCCUUAAAAAAGAUAAGUGAAAACCACAUAAUCUUUAACACCUCUCCUUACCCCUUUAAUGGAAUCAUUUUACUAUUUCAUCAUAUUAUUAAGCAGCAUACUAACCAUACUCUUUGUGAUAGGGCUAUAAACUGUAGCUCCUGCUGGGUCGAACAUCCUAAUCACAUCAGCCUUCUUUCUGUCUUCCUUCCUUCUGACAGCAAUUUACUCCUACCUUUAACUCAGCCUGGAUAAAAUGAUCUCGUGUUCCAGAGCACCUCUUUACCUUCCUAUUUACUCUUUGCCUAUCUAUCCCUCCUGCUUCCUUGGAUACGUCAUACAAUCACCUAUCCCCUUCCACUAGCUCCUAAUUACCUCUACAAGACUCUCAACUUAACCCACUCUCUGUUAAACCAGUCCAAUCCUUCCCUGGCAAAUAACUGUUGGCUUUGUAUCUCUCUAUCAACCUCGGCUUACGUUGCCACUCCCAUUCCCGCAAAAAAUUGGGUCUUUACCGACUUAACCUACCACCCUCAUUAUGAAGGAAAAGCCCCUUUCUGACUUCUAAAUAUGCAAUCAUUAGCCGACUUCCCCAUCUCUGAUAGGACCAAGAAUACCCUAACAGGACGAGGACGUGCAAUCCAACUUUCACGUUCUUACAUUUCCAACCUCACCUAUUACACAAGCAAUGAAAAGCCCAUACACGGUCCUGUAACUACGAAUAUCAUCUUAACUUUCCCAGCCCCUUUAUGCAUUCAUCGCAGCCUGUUAUCAGGCCUGCUUCUGGGGCACCUACUACCACAUCAGUAUAAUUAUACCCUACAACUUCAAGCCCCAACUGAUCAUAGUAACUUCCGAGUCACACAAGUAGCUCCAUUCAGACGGCUUCUCAGGGCCCCUCAAAAUCAUCACCUCCUCCCUGCUUAACAAACAGUCCAAGUUUUGUAAUGGCAAACAUACUCCCUGCAUGACCAUUGACCCCUGUAUUCCCUGCAUGAACCCCCACCACUAGUGAAUGCCUUCUCAUCCCUAUUUCAAUCACUCUCUCGAAUGGUUCCUAGUAGAUACAAAAUGAUUUUUUCUCCAGUGGGAAAAUAGAACACGGGGAGCCACUCAGUUUGCUUCCAACACUCCUUUCCAGCCACUCACUGGAGCUACCUUGGCAAGUACUCUAGGAGUAUGGGAAAAUGAAAAGAACAAACUCUUACACCAAACUCUGGAGUUGGGCAACAUGGCUUCUCCCCUUUCUAGGUCCCGUGGCAGCCAUCUUGCUAUUACUCACCUUCAGGCACUGUAUUUUUAACCUCCUUGUUAAAUUUGUUCCCUCUAGAAUCGAGGCCGUCAAGCUACAGAUGGUCUUACAAGUAGAACACCAAAUGCGCUCAACUAACAACUUCUACCAUGGUCCCCUGGACUGACCCGCUGGCCCUUUCACUGGCCUAAAGAGUUCCCCUCUGGAGGACACUACAACUGCAGGGCCCCUUCUUCACCCCAUCCAGUGGAAGUAGCUAGAGUGGUAAUCACCCAGUUACUAACAGCACUUGGGGUGUCCUGUUUAGAGGGGGGAUUGAGAGGUGAAGCCAGCUGGACUUCCUGGGUCAAGUGGGAACUUGGAGAACUUUUCUGUCUAGCUAAAUGUUUGUAAAUGCACCAAUCAGCACUCUGUAAAAUGGUUCAAUCAGUGCUCUGUAAAAUGGACCAAUCAGCAGGACAUGGGUGGGGCCAAAUAAGGGAAUAAAAGCUGGCCAUCCCAGCCAACAGCGCAACCCACUCGGGUCCCUUUCCAUGCUGUGGAAGCUUUGUUCUUUUGCUUUUCAUGAUAAAUCUUGCAGCUGCUCACUCUUUGGGUCCGCACUACCUUUAUGAGCUGUCACACUCACUGCAAAGGUCUGCAGCUUCACUCCUGAAGUCAGUGAGACCACGAACCCACCAGGAGGAACAAACAACUGUGGAUGCGCCACCUUUAAGAGCUGUAACACUCACUGGGAAGGUCUGCGGCUUCACUCCUGAAGUCAACCAAGACCACAAACCAACCGGAAGGAAUAAACUCCGGACACAUAAGAACAUCUGAAGGACAAACUCCAGACACUCCAUCUUUAAGAACUGUAACACUCACUGCAAGGGUCUGCAGCUUCAUUCUUGAAGUCAGCGAGACCAAGAACUCACUGGAAGGAACCAAUUCCAGACACAUAAUCACAUAUAAAGUAACAGUUUUCAGUUUUGUAUUACUAUUGUAUGCUGUUUUUAAUUUUGUUUCAGUGUAUGUGUCCUUAUAUUUAAGUCUCUGGAAGGCCAUAUAACAUUUUUGUAUCUUCCCAAUAGCAAAGACUUGGAAACAAACCAAAUGUCCAUCACUGAUAGACUGGAUUAAGAAAAUGUGGCACAUAUACACCAUGGAAUACUAUGCAGCCAUAAAAAAGGAUGAGUUCAUGUCCUUUGCAGGGACAUGAAUGAAGCUGGAAACCAUCAUUCUCAGCAAACUAUCACAAGGACAGAAAACCAAACACCACAUAUUCUCACUCAUAGGUGGAAAUUGAACACCAAGAACACAUGGACACAGGGCAAGGAACAUCACACACCAGGGCCUGUCAGGGGGUCGGGGGCUGGGGGAGGGAUAGCAUUAGGAAAAAUACCUAAUGUAAAUGACGAGUUGAUGGGUGCAGCAAGCCAACAUAGCACAUGUAUACCUAUGUAAGAAACCUGAAUGUUGUGCACAUGUACCCUAGAACUUAAAGUAUAAUAAAAAAAAU
rnacentral:lncRNA from 1 species